rnacentral:rRNA from 1 species
GAUGAACGCUGGCGGCGUGCUUAACACAUGCAAGUCGAACGUGAGGGUGUAGCAAUAUGCCUGAAAGUGGCGAACGGGUGAGUAACACGUAGAUGACCUGCCCUGGAGUGGGGGAUAACCAUUGGAAACGGUGGCUAAUACCGCAUACAUCCAGAAGAUUGGGAAAUUUUCUGGGGAAAGCUCUGGUGCUCUGGGAGGGGUCUGCGUCCGAUUAGCUAGUUGGGGAGGUAAAGGCUCACCAAGGCGACGAUCGGUAGCUGGUCUGAGAGGACGAUCAGCCACACGGGAACUGAGACACGGUCCCGACUCCUACGGGGGGCAGCAGUGAGGAAUAUUGGGCAAUGGGCGAGAGCCUGACCCAGCAACGCCGCGUGGAGGAAGACGGCCUUCGGGUUGUAAACUCCUUUUGACAGGGAAGAGAGAGGACGGUACCUGUCGAAUAAGUCACGGCUAACUACGUGCCAGCCGCCGCGGUAAAAC